rnacentral:rRNA from 1 species
UACGGGGGGAGCAAGCGUUGUUCGGAUUUACUGGGCGUAAAGGGCGCGUAGGCGGCGCCGCAAGUCGAGUGUGAAAUCUCCGGGCUUAACCCGGAAAGGUCAGCCGAUACUGCGGGGCUAGAGCGCAGAAGGGGCAACUGGAAUUCUCGGUGUAGCGGUGAAAUGCGUAGAUAUCGAGAGGAACACCUGCGGCGAAGGCGGGUUGCUGGGCUGACACUGACGCUGAUGCGCGAAAGCUAGGGGAGCGAACGGG